rnacentral:rRNA from 2 species
AUGAUACGUAGCCGACCUGAGAGGGUAAUCGGCCACAUUGGGACUGAGACACGGCCCAAACUCCUACGGGAGGCAGCAGUAGGGAAUCUUCCACAAUGGACGAAAGUCUGAUGGAGCAACGCCGCGUGAGUGAUGAAGGGUUUCGGCUCGUAAAACUCUGUUGUUGGAGAAGAACAGGUGUCAGAGUAACUGUUGACCAUCUUGACGGUAUCCAACCAGAAAGCCACGGCUAACUACGUGCCAGCAGCCGCGGUAAUACGUAGGUGGCAAGCGUUGUCCGGAUUUAUUGGGCGUAAAGCGAGCGCAGGCGGUUUUUUAGGUCUGAUGUGAAAGCUUCGGCUUAACCGGAGAAGUGCAUCGGAAACCGGGAGACUUGAGUGCAGAAGAGGACAGUGGAACUCCAUGUGUAGCGGUGAAAUGCGUAGAUAUAUGGAAGAACACCAGUGGCGAAGGCGGCUGUCUGGUCUGUAACUGACGCUGAGGCUCGAAAGCAUGGGUAGCGAACAG